ensembl:antisense_RNA C06C6.12 ncRNA
AAAAAUAACUCAAAAACGGCGAUGUACACCAUGAGGAAUUUGUAGACCCCCAUAUCAGUUGGCGAUUUGAACAUUAUUAAUGGAACUUUCUCUGGACUUACACUUGACGGUUGCCAUAGACUCGAGUCGUUGAGCAGCACCAUUUCAUCCGUUGGCGACAUUAUCAGAUUGAUCUGAGUAUGAAAUAGUAACAUAUGUUUUAGAUGUGUGAAUGUAUACUCCCAAAGCU